UACGGAGGGAGCUAGCGUUGUUCGGAAUUACUGGGCGUAAAGAGCGCGCAGGCGGUCGAUUUAGUCGCGUGUGAAAGCCCCCGGCUCAACUGGGGAGGGUCACGCGAUACUGAUCGACUCGAAGGCAGGAGAGGGUAGUGGAAUUCCCGGUGUAGUGGUGAAAUGCGUAGAUAUCGGGAGGAACACCAGUGGCGAAGGCGACUACCUGGCCUGUUCUUGACGCUGAGGCGCGAAAGCUAGGGGAGCAAACGGGG
rnacentral:rRNA from 1 species